GGGCGAGUGGCGGAAUUGGUAUACGCGCAGCCUUGAGGUGGCUGUGAGGUCAAACUCGUGCAGGUUCAAGUCCUGUCUCGCCCACCA
rnacentral:tRNA from 1 species